UUCUCAUCUCACACUAGGGUUUCAACUUCUUCACCACGCUUCUGGUCUUAAUCUCAAUCGUCUUCGUCACCAUGCUUCCAAUCUCAUAGUCUGAUAUGAUAAUAAGGUAUUAAUACAUUUUAACCCAUUGCAAAAACACAAACUUCAUUUGCAUCCUAGGGUUUCUGCAUCUUCAAUCUUACAUCUUCCUCUCAUCCAUCCCUAAAAGAUCUUCAUUACCAAGGUCUGAUUUCCUUUUAAUCUAUUAAUCAUUCAGAAACCCUAAUUCUCCCCAAGGUGCGAUUCUCAAACACUUCGCCCAAAAUCCCAUUUUCCAGGUCGAAAAACCAAAACCUAAAUCGUUCCAAAAUCGUAGGUUCUACGUAUCGAGUCGAAAAAACUGAAAUCUCAUGUUGCUUCUCCAUUGUAUAAAAUCAAAAUAACUAGGUCACCACGUCUUGAAUAGACGUCAUCAAUAGCAACAAAUAAAUCACAGGUGCUGGGUAAAGUGUGGUCAAUAACAUUCAAGUAUCAUUUCCUCAUGCCACCAUAUUAUUCUCUUCUGAUACGAUUUCUAGCUUCCUUUGAAGUUGCUUUACCAUUUUACGAGUGCUGAAUAGGUGGGGCGGAGAACACAAUACACUUAUCCGACACACUAAAAUUUGACCUGAAAUGCUAAGUUGUCCAAACCAAUGCGUUUAUCUUCUGACCAAUACGAACCUACCUUUUUUAAGCAAUAGAGAAAUCGAGUGGUGUUUCCUAAGGCUUCAAUCAAGCUUGAUAAAUUUAUCGACUAUUGUGGCCAAUUUACGGGGUCUUGAUUUGAGCUUUAAUGAUUUGGUCCAUGCAUUUACCAUCAAUUAUAAAGUUGGUUGUUGAUUGAUUGUUUUGUGGCCAAAGUCAAAAUCAAGGGAUAUAUUCAAAGUGGACCGAAUUCAGAGCCGUACCCUAAAAACGCUUGAAGAAUAAAUGGUCGAAAACCCAUAAAUUGGAUAUGUGUGUGUGUAUAUAUAUAUAUAUGUUUUCAACUUUUUUUCUUCAAAUUUUAUGUUCUAUUAAAAAUGUUAUAUAUAGUUGAUUUAGGUUUUAAUGUGUUGUUUACCUAUUGAUCGUAUAUUAAGUACCUUUAAAGAUGAAAAGCACUUCUUCAUGCUUAAACGUUUCAUAUCGAGAUUCAAUUAUGUUGUUUUUUUU
rnacentral:lncRNA from 1 species